CUCAAAACCUAGUGAGGAAAUAAAAUGUCUUAUCCCCUCUUGCUUCUCAAUAAGCCACCUCACACACAAAGUUUGCAGAUAAAUGCUGCUGACACGUUUCACAUAUUGACGCUCUUUUGGACAUCUAAACGCAAUAUCCAAUGCCGUCUCUGUGUAGUUCAUUCUUUCUUAAUGUCUUUCAAAGCGGGAGCAGACAGAUUGCUUCGCUGUUUCCCAAUUCAGCAUGGAAAGUAUGCGUUUAGUCAGGUUUAAAGGGGAACGGUCACUUUACAGGAUUUUAAUACUGUAUUUACUUAUCAAUAUACUUAACUAUUACGUAUUUGUGAGGUGUGAAAAAUAAAAUGUUAUGUAGAAUUUCACAUUUCCUUGUCCUGCAACUGGGUGUUUACAUCUUAGCUCACUGACAAUCAUUGUUAUAAGUUUUGUCUGCCACAUUUUUAUUCAUUUUUGAGAUUUCU